CAUUAGCAGCGGCGCCGGCUCAGCGUGCGGACGUGCCUCUAGCCUUGUUGUUUCUCCAGCGGCGGCAGUUCUCACUACAGCGCCAGGACGAGUCCGGUUCGCGUGCGACCGCGGAGAUCUCUCUCAUCUCGCUCGGCUGCGGGAAAUCGGGCUGAAGCGACUGAGUCCGCGAUGGAGAAAACUUUAGAAACUGUUCCUUUGGAGAGGAAAAAGAGAGAAAAGGAACAGUUCCGUAAACUCUUUAUUGGUGGCUUGAGCUUUGAAACCACAGAAGAAAGUUUGAGGAACUACUAUGAGCAAUGGGGGAAACUUACAGACUGUGUGGUAAUGAGAGAUCCUGCAAGCAAAAGAUCAAGAGGAUUUGGUUUUGUAACUUUUUCAUCCAUGGCUGAGGUUGAUGCCGCCAUGGCUGCAAGACCUCAUUCAAUUGAUGGAAGAGUGGUUGAGCCAAAACGUGCUGUUGCAAGAGAGGAAUCUGGAAAGCCAGGGGCUCAUGUAACUGUGAAGAAGCUGUUUGUUGGUGGGAUUAAAGAAGAUACUGAGGAACAUCAUCUUAGAGAUUACUUUGAAGAAUAUGGAAAAAUUGAUACCAUUGAGAUAAUUACUGAUAGGCAGUCUGGAAAGAAGAGAGGUUUUGGAUUUGUUACUUUUGAUGACCAUGAUCCUGUGGAUAAGAUUGUGUUGCAGAAAUACCAUACCAUCAAUGGUCAUAAUGCAGAAGUAAGAAAGGCUUUGUCUAGACAAGAAAUGCAGGAAGUUCAAAGUUCUAGAAGUGGAAGAGGAGGCAACUUUGGUUUUGGAGACUCUCGAGGUGGUGGUGGAAAUUUUGGACCAGGACCAGGAAGUAACUUUAGAGGAGGAUCUGAUGGCUAUGGAAGUGGUCGUGGAUUUGGGGAUGGCUAUAAUGGGUAUGGAGGAGGGCCUGGAGGUGGCAAUUUUGGAGGUAGCCCUGGUUAUGGAGGAGGAAGAGGAGGAUAUGGUGGUGGAGGACCUGGAUAUGGCAACCAGGGUGGGGGCUACGGAGGUGGUUAUGACAACUAUGGAGGAGGAAAUUACGGAAGUGGAAAUUACAAUGAUUUUGGAAAUUAUAACCAGCAACCAUCUAACUAUGGUCCAAUGAAGAGUGGAAAUUUUGGUGGUAGCAGGAACAUGGGGGGACCAUAUGGUGGAGGAAACUAUGGUCCCGGAGGAAGUGGAGGAAGUGGGGGCUAUGGAGGGAGAAGCCGAUAUUGAGCUUCUUCCUAUUUGCCAUGGCAUUGAUAUGAACCAUGGACAAGUAUAUUCUGCUGCCACAAAGACUGUAAAGUGCUUCAUUUCAACAGCUGAGGCAAGCCAAGUGAUUAAUAAAGCUUUUCUUGGUUCCUUCAGUGGUGUUGGUAGUAAAAUGGAAGGUGUCUUGCUGCAGGUAACUAAUGAAGAAGUGGUCAACCACAGAGUCUUCGAGAAAUAAGAAAUUCUGUACCAUCUGAAAGUAGUUGUUGGUGCCUUCAUUUUAAAAAGCACUCUUUAAGAUUAAAGGCAAAUGUUUUCUGAUAAAAUACAAACUUCAUUUAGUAUAGGUUCUUAAUAUAAAACAAUUACAAGUUGAGCAUUGUUUGUAAAAAUAACAUCAAAUCAGCCAGAGAGAGAAAUGUAUCAUGUUUUAAAUUAGGUUUUGUGAGUAGACAGAUUAAAGUUCUAUUUUAAAUAUAAAGUUUUAUAAAAUAAAUACUUUUGUAUCCAAAUAUUUGGUGUAAUGUUUACACAUAAAAUGUGUGAAUCUUGUUCUAUAAACAUUCAGUUGUCUAAAGAAUUGCCAUCCCUUAGGUUUUUAAAGCAGUUUCACAAAACUGUACAUAUUGCCAUUUUUUUCUUAUAAUAGACAUGAGAAAACCAUUGUGGACAUUAUUGGCUGUCCCUAAUAAAAAUGCCAUUCUUUUAUACACUAUA